GACGUAGGGCGCGAGCGUUGUCCGGAUUUAUUGGGCGUAAAGAGCUCGUAGGCGGUUUGUCGCGUCGGCUGUGAAAACCCGGGGCUCAACCCCGGGCCUGCAGUCGAUACGGGCAAACUAGAGUGCGGUAGGGGAGACUGGAAUUCCUGGUGUAGCGGUGAAAUGCGCAGAUAUCAGGAGGAACACCGGUGGCGAAGGCGGGUCUCUGGGCCGUAACUGACGCUGAGGAGCGAAAGCGUGGGGAGCGAACAGG
rnacentral:rRNA from 1 species